rnacentral:rRNA from 1 species
UACAGAGGGGGCAAGCGUUGUUCGGAAUUACUGGGCGUAAAGGGCGCGUAGGCGGCCUGUUAAGUCGAACGUGAAAUCCCCGGGCUCAACCCGGGAACUGCGUCCGAGACUGGCAGGCUCGAAUCCGGGAGAGGGAUGUGGAAUUCCAGGUGUGAGCGGUGAAAUGCGUAGAGAUCGGGAGGAAGGCCGGGUGGCGAAGGCGGCGCUCUGGAACAUUUCUGACGCUGAGGCUCGAAAGCGUGGGGAGCAAACAGG